rnacentral:tRNA from 1 species
GUCAGCGUAGCUCAGUGGUUAGAGCACUGCAUUCAUAACGCAGCGGCCGGUGGUUCGAAUCCACCCGCUGACA